rnacentral:rRNA from 1 species
UCAAAGAUACGCUAAGGAUAACAGGCUAAUAAUUCCCAAGAGUCCUUAUCGACGGAAUUGUUUGGCACCUCGAUGUUGACUGAUCAUAUCCUGGGGCUGAAGAAGGUCCCAAGGGUUCGGCUGUUCGCCGAUGAAAAUGGUACCUGAGUUGAGUUUAGAACGUCGUGAGACAGUUUGGAUUCUACCUGGGGUGCGCGUAAGAAUUGAGAAAACUACUUCUUUGUACGAGAGGACCGGAAGUAUUCAACCUCUGGUGGACUGGUUGUUAAGCCAUUAGCAUUGCCAGGAAGCUACGUUGAGACAGGAGAACCGUUGAAAGCAUAUGAAACGGGAAACUUUUUUCAAGACAAAUUCUUUUUUUUCGUGAAAGAUUCUCACGUUGAUAGGCGAAAUGUGUACAAUUUGUAAAAAUUCUAGCUUUUUCGUACUAAAC